rnacentral:rRNA from 1 species
AGUGAACGCUGGCGGUAGGCCUAACACAUGCAAGUCGAACGGCAGCACAGUAAGAGCUUGCUCUUACGGGUGGCGAGUGGCGGACGGGUGAUGAAUACAUCGGAAUCUACUUUUUCGUGGGGGAUAACGUAGGGAAACUUACGCUAAUACCGCAUACGACCUACGGGUGAAAGCAUGGGAUCUUCGGACCUCGCGCGAUUGAAUGAGCCGAUGUCGGAUUAGCUAGUUGGCGGGGUAAAGGCCCACCAAGGCGACGAUCCGUAGCUGGUCUGAGAGGAUGAUCAGCCACACUGGAACUGAGACACGGUCCAGACUCCUACGGGAGGCAGCAGUGGGGAAUAUUGGACAAUGGGCGAAAGCCUGAUCCAGCCAUGCCGCGUGUGUGAAGAAGGCCUUCGGGUUGUAAAGCCCUUUUGUUGGGAAAGAAGAGCAGCAGGUUAAUACCCCGCUGUUCUGACGGUACCCAAAGAAUAAGCACCGGCUAACUUCGUG